rnacentral:rRNA from 1 species
UCAACCUGCCCUUCAGAGGGGGACAACAGUUGGAAACGACUGCUAAUACCGCAUACGAUCCAAUCUCGGCAUCGAGGAUGGAUGAAAGGUGGCCUCUAUUUAUAAGCUAUCACUGAAGGAGGGGAUUGCGUCUGAUUAGCUAGUUGGAGGGGUAACGGCCCACCAAGGCGACGAUGCGUAGCCGACCUGAGAGGGUGACCGGCCACACUGGGACUGAGACACGGCCCAGACUCCUACGGGAGGCAGCAUG